GAGUGUGCUGUCUCCCUACACCAACGCUUAUGCUGGGUGUCCCCUGCAGCAGACAGAAACAAGUUCAAACCUCUCACGUGACUCCCUGGCACGUCACACCAUCCAUCACUGAGCCAGCCGCCUGGGCGUUUCUGUCACCAAAAGAACAGCCCAUCUUCACCACGCGAGCGCACGUCUUCCAGAUUGACCCCAGCACCAAGAAGAACUGGGUGCCCGCGAGCAAGCAGGCCGUCACUGUGUCCUACUUCUACGAUGUUACCAGGAACAGCUAUCGGAUCAUCAGCGUUGAUGGAGCCAAGGUGAUCAUAAACAGCACCAUCACCCCGAACAUGACGUUCACCAAAACCUCGCAGAAGUUCGGGCAGUGGGCAGACAGCAGAGCCAACACAGUGUUCGGUCUGGGAUUCUCCUCAGAGCAGCAGCUCACCAAGUUUGCAGAGAAGUUCCAGGAGGUGAAAGAAGCUGCCAGGCUAGCGAGAGACAAGUCCCAGGAGAAGAUCGAGACCUCGAGUAAUCAUUCCCAAGAAUCUGGGUGUGAAACCCCGUCUUCCACUCAGGCAUCCAGCGUCAACGGAACGGACGAUGAGAAGGCCUCCCAUGCCAGCCCGGCCGACACACACCUCAAGUCUGAGAAUGACAAGCUGAAGAUCGCGUUGACACAGAGUGCUGCCAAUGUAAAGAAGUGGGAGAUUGAGCUGCAGACCCUGCGGGAGAGCAACGCCCGGCUGACCACAGCCCUGCAGGAGUCGGCGGCCAGCGUGGAGCAGUGGAAGAGGCAGUUCUCCAUCUGUCGUGAUGAGAAUGACCGACUCCGCAGCAAGAUCGAGCAGCUGGAAGACCAGUGCGGCGAGAUAAACCGGGAGAAGGAGAAAAACACCGAGCUGAAGAGCAGGAUUGAGCAGCUGGAGUCCGAGCUCCGGGAAAAGGAGACGGAGUUGAAAGACCUCCGGAAACAGAGUGAGAUCAUACCUCAGCUCAUGUCUGAGUGUGAAUACGUCUCUGAGAAGCUAGAGGCGGCCGAAAGAGACAAUCAAAACUUGGAAGACAAAGUGCGGUCUCUAAAAACAGACAUCGAGGAGAGCAAAUACCGACAGCGCCACCUGAAGGGGGAGUUGAAGAGCUUCCUGGAGGUGCUGGACGGCAAGAUCGACGACCUCCACGACUUCCGCCGAGGACUCUCCAAGCUGGGCGCGGAUAACUAGGCCAGGCCAGGCCCCGGGUGGCGAGUGUGUGUGUGAGGUGAAGUAGGCGUAGGACAUCCUCCAUCUGUGUCGUUUCUGCCAAUGCAGGUGCAUCCUGUCUGUCUCCAGACCAGUCACGCGGUCCACCCAGUCCUCCCGGAUAGAAACUCGUGAGGUGUGGGCGACUGGAAGCUUCUGACUCAGGAAUCCAGAACUCGGUCUACCUUAGCCGUUUACGCAGUCAGGCAGGGAUGUUUAUAUCUCUCUCUCUCUUUUUUUUUUUAAGGGCUGUUGCAACCCUAUGAACUGGGUGGGUGGGGGAGUAUUUUCUAAUCCAACUAUCGAUAUCCUUUACAACAGGCCACUGGGCGCCUUCUACUGAGUAGCAUUCAGGGUGUGUGACUCUCGGGCAGAUUCUAGUCCGUGGGGGCUAUGUAUCUAACCUUUUGACGUUGUGAUACAGCUUUGUCAUCCGUAAAGAUCACACUCAAGGAUUGACUUACCCACAGAGAAAUAAUUGUCAAAAAAAGCCCCAAACAAACCACCUUUCAAUGUUUUAAGUCAAUUUACUGUUUUGUGUUGGAGCAUAUUCUUAGUUAUCCUCGGCUACGUGUGACCCUCAGACUGUAGGUCAGGCGUCUCUUCUUGAAAGGAACCAUUUAGUGGAAACUUUACCAGAGGGAAGAAAACCCAGAAGUUCUGGGGUGUACCUACAGACAGGAACUCACCUGUAUCCACUGUGCCCCGAUCUUCCCCCGAUUACUACGGUUGCGGCAAUGUUUCUUUUCUUGUGUUUCUUUUUUUUUUUUUUUUUGGUGGUUGGUUGGUUUUUGUUUUGUUUCUAUUUCCGGGCGUCUGCUUACGCUGUGGGAACGGAUGCAGGAGUGUGCUUAACAUAGUGCUGGGCAUACCACAGGUGCUUAAUAAACAUUCGUUCAAUUAAACACAUAUAGUGCUUUAAUCGGAUCCCACAGCAGAGUUCAGGCCCCGUGGAAUCAUGCACCAUCUUCCCUGGGCUGAAGAGAUGGCCUGCAGGGAAUGCAGUCUGCUGCAGGCAAACCCACACGUGGCUCUGAGGAGGGAUACCGGCAAUGGAGUGACCCUCCCGCAGGGUGCCCAGCCGUGAUCCCCAUAGAGGUCAUUGCCAUGGGACUACCUUCUCUUCUAAGCAGAGCGCCUGUAGUCUGAGGCUUCUAGGAUCCUGGGAGAGCCUGGGAUAGGAGCUGCCACGGGCCUAGAAGCUCGGCCAGGUUCCUACAAUGGGCUCGAACAACCGAGAAGAUGUCCUACAGGCUAUGAGGGUAAGAGAGCUGCUCAGGUGGCAGCCCUUGGCCGUGGUGACAGAGCAGCUCUGCUCUGCCCGGGUCUGCCUUCCCUUAGGUCCUGCUAAGGAAGGACCUGGAGCCCUAAAGCUCUCCUCUCACAGACUUCUUGGUGGGGCCAUUGGGCACUGAGGUCCACCCACAGGCAUCUGUCCUUAAGAGAGAUGUCCAUGGGAUACCCUUCUAAAUGCCCCAGUCAAGGGGAACUUUGGUGUUCCCUAGCUCUCUAAGAACCCUCUAGAUAUGAAUUCACACAGUUAGGAAUUCGUCCUCGUGACUUUGCAUGAACUCUUGUUCAUGCAGACAGCCUGGGGAAGGGGCGGGCCAGCUUGUCCGCCACCCAGGCCCCGUGGUGACUUCCCAGCCCUCAUCGUUCCCUGCUGUGGCUGUCACUCUGGUCAAGGAACUCUGUUGGGAUGGGAAAGGAAGGGAGGCUGGCGAUAUGGAGUGCUGAGGGUGUCUUGUGCAAUGGGAGUGGUCACCUGUGAUGUAAUUCACCCCAGGGUGUGACUGGCCCCGCCUUCCCCUGCAGCUCCUAAUAGGUCUCAUCAGUAGCAGCUCGUGCUGGUCCACUAGGGAACAAAGACUGGGCUGGCUAUGACCCAGCCUGGGUAAGGGGCCCUCAUCUUAGACCAUCUUGGCCUCCCUGUCUGUCAGCAGCCUGGGCACAUGGCUGCCCAGGAGCAGCAGACGCCGGGAUCCUCAUCUUGGGCUUCACAGGUAGAUAGAUGUAGACGUGUAGAAGGAGCUCUUGGCUGGUGAGGGUGUGAGCCGGUGACAGGGCCGUACGAACAUAGCUGCUAAAGCCCCUUCUUCGUCUGCAUGGCAGUGACUUACAAAAGCGCUGAAAAUGGAAAUGCAGAAAGUUCUGGAAGUCAGUACCACAGUGGGGCUGACUGUAAGGUCGACUCCAUGAUCCUUGCUGUGAGCCGUUGAAGAGUCUGGCGGCUUCUCGUAGCCAGCAGGUAGGGGAACGAGAGUUUUGGGGCAUCCCCCAAACGGCCGCAACCCAGGAGCCUGAGGACCUAGGAACCUGUCGCAGAGUGAUUUAGGCAAACAUGUGCGAGACUAAGCACUGACCUUCCCCUUCACCUGCUUUCUCUAAAGAGCUCAUGUCUCUCCAUCUGCUCUUUUUAAGAACAGUCGUGACCCAGAAACGGCCUGGGUGGCCAACAGGAGGCUGGCCCCGAAUACAACCUCCAGCCCUUCAAAAGGUAGGCUCUGUACAGAGCAGACGAGCCACUAACUGUCCAGUCUCCGCUCGCACUGAUGUGGCAUGCCUCCAGUUGUUGUGACGUCCAGCCCAGCCCUGGGACUGUCGUCAUGACCUCAAACCCUGUGCAGGUGCAGUGAGCUGUUGGCUCCCGGCGAUUACUGCCGUGGUGUGCCGCCUCCGAACCAGGUGUCCCCUGAGCUCUCCUGACAACUCGAGAAUGGCUGUCUGUGCCUUGCUUACCUGGCUUUCUGCAGCCGUUCACACAGGGCCUAAAAGAGGCCAAGGAAAACUCAGAGAACCCUUUAACCAUAAUCCGUGUGCAUUUCUGACGUAAGGCUGGUAGGGACAGGACCUGCUUCUGGGGCCUCAGGAAUGUAACUAGAAGCGCAGAUUGGGGGAGCCACACAGAGCCCGUGCUAACCCUCAGAUCGUCCCCCCAAGAGCUGUCACUGUAGACCUCCACUGGGGGAGAGAACUUGGCAGAGAUCAUCAGCAGGAAGCGGAGGCAGAGAGGCGUGCCCAGGGGACCCCAGCUGUGACCAGCAGCAUGGGCUCUUGGGUCACUUGGACCUUGGUCCACCGUUCUCUUCAGAACCGUAUCGCGGUUCUCCUUUGAUGUUUCUUAGAUGCCAAGAAGAAAUAAAUACUCGUCUGCCCUAGUAAAAACACACUGUAUUAUUUCAGUGUGUGUCCACAGCACGGGACAGCUGGCAGGGGACUGAGGCUGAUCACACUUCCACUUACCAGACAUAGUGAGGCCCGUUUCUGAAUGGUUCUGGUCUGUAGGGGACUCUUCAGUAACCUCUGUGCUCUGAGAGGCCAGUUUGGUAGAACACAGACUGGCUUUAAGUUCUCUGCUGAUGGUUUUCAUGGGCGCACACUCAUCUUUUUCAAGAGGCAGCAGGGCUUUGGCUGCAGAGACGUAAAUGGUGUUCCCGCCCAGAGGUGGUCGGUCCGGAUGAGCCACAGCUGGGGAGACCCUGCUUUUCCAGGGCUUAGAGUGGUUUGCAAGCAUGAGCUGCCCGCAGGGGCGGCUGCUCUCCUGCCUGCAGGCUUCACAGCCACAGCCUUCAGCUAUGUGAUGGGCAGCAUGUAAUGCAUUGGCUGUGAGACACCAACAAAAGGGUGGCGUGUCAUAUAGUCCGUGAGAGGCCGUAAAGCACGUGUCCACUUUGCAGGGGCUCUUUUCCUAUAGACAAAUCCCCUCUCCUGCAGACCCCAGGGGCAACUGCAAACGAGACCCAAUGUGAACCUCAGGUGUAAUAGCCAGGCGCAUUCUUGGAAAGGAGGCGACCUGAUAGGAGCUCCCCUUCCCGGGAGCACCUGCCGCUGCUGUUUGCUAAGAACUGAUAGUAAGUCACUAGAAGUUACGAUCACAAUUCAGGGGGACCCCACUGGAGUUUGAAGCACUUGCAACACAAACCGGAAGCUUUCCAGUCAACGUCUGUCCGUACGUAUUUUGAGUGGUAGGCAUGAUUUAAAUAGACCGAGACUUCUGAGUACGUGGCUUCCCCAAAGAAAUAGACGAUAUUCUGGGGACAGUGGGUGUGACAGCGUGGACAGAGCCCUGAGCAGAAGUGUGAAUUACUUCAUGUCUUUCCUUACACCUUCCCUCUUUAAAAUCAAAUCUGGCAAGAAUUCCUACUGUGUCAAAUGUCCGUGUGUGUGUGUAUAUGUGUGUGUGUGUGUGUGUGUGUGUGCGCGCGCAUACACACAUUGGGGAAGACAGCCUGACAGAAAGCUGGGGUAACACCUAGGAGAGAUCAGCUACAGCUCUGUAACUAGGAGGCGUCUUGGAGUAUUUCUGGUGGUGAUGCUGAAUGUUCUGGACUCCGCUUACAAGGCCUUGUGGGUCUCAGACAGUGCAGUCCUUGCUGCAGAGUGGCCUCUGGGCCACAGGGACCCCUCCAGAAGCCCAGAUGGGCCACAGUGGAGUGAGUCCACGCUUGUACACUUUGUCGAGAGAUUGGCAGGAGACUGAUGUUUCACAGCUGCUGGGGAUAUGAUGCUGUCUCCGCCCUCCCCUCCCCCUUCCUCUCCCUCUCCCCCAUACCUCUUUUGAUAGGAAGGCCUGAGUUUCAGUCCCUUGUGCCGUGUCUCAUGCUAUUACAGCAGGAAGGCGUUUCCUACAUCUCCAUAAGAGCUUAGUGCUAAGUAUGGACUGGAUAAGCAAACUAUUUCACGAGUAACACCCUUUUUCUUUCUAAACGCUUUUUUGGAAUAUAAGUAAUAGAUACUUGUUUUUACAAAAAGAAACUAAAGAUAAAAGGAACAAAAAUCACCUGUUGCCCCACCGUCUGAUUGUAACCCCUGUUAACACGCGUGGCUCGUCAGCUUCCCCGCACAGCCGCUCCCGUUCCUCUUCCGUGACAUACCACACCAUCUCAUGCACACGCCUCACGUGACCCACUCACCCCCUCCGACACUCAUGAAUGGACUUCUCCAUUGGUAGAUACGAAACUACUGCUUUUUAACCGCUGAGUGGAUCACACCGUGGAUGUCUAAGCUGUUUCCAAUUUUCUACCCUUGUCGUCAGGACGCCAUGAAAUUGUCCUGACAUCUUUGUAAACUGUUCAGAAUAUGGACUUAGAAUCCAUCACUGAAACCAGUGUUCCCUGAUCUCCAGACCGUGGCUCCUCUCCUUCUUAGACAUGAGAGAUUCCACUCACCAGCCCCGCUGUGGUCAGUGAUUCGGGGCCCUGUGAGUGAUUCCAGUGAGUGUGAUAGGAGCAGAAGGAACAUAUGAAACUCGAGCUAGGACUGUAGAGUGUGUCCCUGAUCCUUUGCCUUAGCAAGUGGUGACAUCCCAGGGGUAGACCGUCUUCCGGCCUGGGUCCUUGAGUGACUGUACGGGACGGCUCCUUUCUCUCCACCCCACCCACCAACCUACGUGGACCUGUGGUCCGAGCCAGAGAUAAACCUUACAGGUUUUACCCCCGGGAUUUCAGGGUUGGUGUUUUUACUGCAGCAUAACAUAGCCCCUGUUUUAACCAGUAAGAGAAAAGGCAUGCAUGUUUUUAGGGUUUUAAACAUACUUCAAAUUGCCUUUCAGAAAUACGUCCCCCAAGCAUCCCCCCACUAGCAAUGUGUGUGAGCACCCUGCUCCCUCUGUAACACUGACGUUAGCAUGGAGCAGGAGCUAACAAAGUUACAUUUUUAUUAAAAUAUGAUCCUUGUUGGCAGAAAUAUUUAUUAGACUAUAUGUUUUGUGUCUUCUGUUCAUCUCUGGCCAGCUUUCUUAUAAGGUCUUUAGCAGUCGCAUCGAUUGGUUUUUUAAUGUAUAGGUGUUUGCCCGCAUGUAGUCUGUGCAUCACUUGGAUGCCUGAUGCCCAAAGAGGCCAGAAGAGGCCAUCGGAUCUCCUGGAACUGGAGUUACAGAAGGUUGUGAGCAGCCAUGUGGGUGCUGGGAGCCAGACCCUGGUCCUCUGAAAGAGUAGCUAGUGCUCUUAACCACUGAGCCAUCUCUCCAUCCUCCAACCCCUUUUAUUUAUCUUUGGUUUUGUUUUUGUUUUUUUGAAACAAGGUCUCAACUCUGUAACUGUGGCUAGCCUGCAACUCACUAUGUAGACCACACUAGCCUUAAAUUCGUGGCGGUCCUCCUGCCUCAGCCUUCCGUGCUGGGGUUACAGGCUUGCUCCACCACACACAGUCCCAUUGAUUUCAAAGUUUUUUUCAGAAGUGUUAUAUAAAUUUUAAAGUAUCAUGGCUCUUAGAAAAAAAUGCUUAAACAUUAAAAAGAAACGUUUUUAGUCAACUCUGUCUUUCUUUAUAGUUAGUCCUUUGCUGUCACGAUUGCGAAAGGCUUCCCAGUUCUAAUUCUAGUACGUUUUACACAUUUGUAUAUUAUUCUUGUGUAUUCAUUGUUUCUUUUCAUCUGUUGAACCCCUGAUCUAGGCCAGGCGUGGUGGCACGCUCCUGUAAUCCCAGAACUUGGGAGGUGGAGGCAGAAGGAUUGGCCGCACAGCAAGUGUAAGAACCAGUUGGGCUACAGAGACCCUGUCUCAAAAAACCAGCCAGGGGACUAGCUUUCCGAGAGAGGCAGUGAGAAUGGACGCCGGUUGCCUGGAUACGGGAAAGAAAGCCAAUCUCGGAGACUUUAUCCCACUAGUGCAGGCCUUUCCAGAAGAAUCCAGCAGGCUCUGCACACAGCGAAGUCUGCGCCAGGCACAACCACCUUUUCCCAAAUGUGUGGGAGGUGUGAAUCCCAGCCCUGGGCUCAGGCGUGGAGGAAAGAUGACCUGUUGAGCCUUCAUCCAGUUUCUGUUUUAAGCCGUAUUGCAUCGGGCUCGUGCAAUUCUGGGUUCUUUCUGUCUUUCUCCCAAGGUGAGUCUUUGAUGGUUUGGGGAGGGCUUACAUCUUCCCUGGGUUGUUUGGGGAGGGGGCAUGUGGGAAGCAGUCCAUACUGCAGAGAUGUCCUCUGCCCAGUCCCAGCUAUGCACCCCCCACACACACACGCACACACGGGAACGUGGGACCCACUCAGAUGCCCUGUGCUGCAACCACAGUGCCUCUGUGCCCUUGGCUUCCAGGGCCCUCUCUCUAAGGUAUCUUCCAGGCUUCAGGUUGUGGUGCCUAAUGGUAAGCAAAGGGUGUGUUCCAUAAACCAGAUGAGUGUUUGCCCCAGGACAUCAAAUCACCGAGUAGCAAAAGGAGUCCUGGUUGCUCUCACACAAAGCUGCCAGAGAUUCCUUUCAAAACCCUAGAGUUAGAACAGCUUCCAGACCCCUCCCUUCCCUUCAAGAUUUAUUUAUUUUGUAUGCAGUGUUCUGUCUGCAUGUAUGCCUUCAGACCAGAAGAGGGCAGCAGAUCUCAUUACAGAUGGUUGUGAGCGGCCAUGUGGUUGCUGGGAAUUGAACUCAGGACCUUUGGAAGAGCAGCCAGUGUUCUUAAUCACUGAGCCAUCUCUCUUAUUGGCUCUUCUCCCCCAAGAAGAGGUCUGGCUGCUGCAUGUUCUCUGUGUCCUUUAUUCAUGUUGUCUCUGAACCCUGGAAUGUUCUCUGUUCCAGUUCCACAGGUCCCAUGAUGUCCAACCACGCUCUUACUAUGAAUACCUUACCAUAUAGAACUGGAAAUCAUUUUGUUUAGACAGUUUUGUGUAUCCAAGGCUGGUCUUGACCUCAAUCCAGUGACUUUUGUGGGUGGUGUUAGUAUUUUAUUAAUAAUUCUCUGUGUUCUCAUCUAUUUCCGUGACUCUCCCAAAGUGUGUGGAGAUCCGAGGACAGCUUGCAGCAGGUGACUUUUUCCUUCCGCAUCUUCAACCUGAGACUUUUGGGGAGAAAAGAACAAACCUACGAUUGUCCAAGUAACAGAAACUGUAUUUGAGGGUGCUCCAGGACUGGCCAGUUGGGAUUUGAGAGAGCAGCCCCUGCUGGCCUCUUCAAGUUCCUUUUAUAGGAGGGGUAACGUGCUCACAGGAGUGAGAGAAUCAGCUGCUACACAUUGUUAGAAAAGCACAAUGGAAGGGAGGAACAGGGGGAAGGAUACGCAUCCUGUGAAUGGGACUUGCAAAUUUAAGACAGGUUGAAAAACAAGUUUUGCAAUUUAUACCUUAUCUAACUAACAGAAACUUUGUUUUUCAAGACAGGGUUUCUCUGUGUAACUGCUCUGGCUGUCCUUAGAACUUUCGAGACCAGGCUGGCCUCGAACUCAGAGAUCUACCUGCCUCUGCCUCUCGAGUGCUGGGAUUAGAGGUGUGCAUCACCACCACAGAGCCAGGAACUUAUUAAUUACAAAUAGAAACCUUAACUUGCAAGGACUUCAGGACGAGCAGGAGCUUUACUGUCUAAACUGCAAACAAACUUUAACCUGCAAGGUGCGUUGUUCCUGUUCUGGUCUCC